rnacentral:rRNA from 1 species
ACUCCUACGGGAGGCAGCAGUGGGGAAUAUUGCACAAUGGGCGCAAGCCUGAUGCAGCCAUGCCGCGUGUGUGAAGAAGGCCUUGGGUUGUAAAGCACUUUCAGUUGUGAGGAAGGUGGUGUCGUUAAUAGCGGCAUCAUUUGACGUUAGCAACAGAAGAAGCACCGGCUAACUCCGUGCCAGCAGCCGCGGUAAUACGGAGGGUGCGAGCGUUAAUCGGAAUUACUGGGCGUAAAGCGCAUGCAGGUGGUUUGUUAAGUCAGAUGUGAAAGCCCGGGGCUCAACCUCGGAACUGCAUUUGAAACUGGCAGACUAGAGUACUGUAGAGGGGGUAGAAUUUCAGGUGUAGCGGUGAAAUGCGUAGAGAUCUGAAGGAAUACCGGUGGCGAAGGCGGCCCCCUGGACAGAUACUGACACUCAGAUGCGAAAGCGUGGGAGCAAACAGGAUUAGAUACCCCUGGUAGCACAGAG